rnacentral:lncRNA from 1 species
GUUGAUCAGAAGUCUGGGUUAAAUCCUUUAGUGAGUCCAUCCUGACCAGGUGCCACAUGUGCCACUCUGCCUUCUGUAGUAGAAUUGGAAGGCAACAUUUCAGUUCCAGUGAAACUAUAUUGCCUUUAUUUGGAACAUCUCUAAAUUCCUCUUUCAGAAUUUUCUUCUGAAGUUUACUUUUUAUUUUCACAGGUAGAAAGUCACUGCCCUUUGGAGAAUAGAUGUUUACCUUUUCCAGAAACAGUCGUACCUGGUUUAAACAGCUUAUCAAGGAAGGGCACUGAAGAGGGUAGGAAAGACAGUCUUGAAUUGCUG